GAUGAACGCUGGCGGCGUGCCUAAUACAUGCAAGUCGAGCGAACAGACGAGGCGCUUGCUCCUUCGACGUUAGCGGCGGACGGGUGAGUAACACGUAGGUACCCUACCUAUAAGACUGGGAUAACUUCGGGAAACCGGAGCUAAUACCGGAUAAUAUUUCGAACCGCAUGGUUCGAUAGUGAAAGAUGGCUUUGCUAUCACUUAUAGAUGGACCUGCGCCGUAUUAGCUAGUUGGUAAGGUAACGGCUUACCAAGGCAACGAUACGUAGCCGACCUGAGAGGGUGAUCGGCCACCUUGGAACUGAGACACGGUCCAGACGCCUACGGGAGGCAGCAGUAGGGAAUCUUCCGCAAUGGGCGAAAGCCUGACGGAGCAACGCCGCGUGAGUGAUGAAGGUCUUCGGAUCGUAAAACUCUGUUAUUAGGGAAGAACAAACGUGUAAGUAACUGUGCACGUCUUGACGGUACCUAAUCAGAAAGCCACGGCUAACUACGUG
rnacentral:rRNA from 1 species